UUUCCACUUCAUUCUUCCCACCCUGAUCUGGCCUCUGCAUAUGCGAUUGAGGUAUAUUUAGUGGCCUGGAAGAGGGAAACGUUGCCUCCUAGGGAAGCUGCUGGCUCUUCCCCGCUUUAGCAACAACAAUCUUCCUCGAGGACUUGCAGUUUGCCGGGAAAUCGUAGCCUUCCCUCUCCGGACCCCCCAGCAUGUCUGGAUGAUGAAAACUUCUCGAGGAAGCUUCCCCUGUUCCAUGUAGAGCGUCGGUGCUGUAAAGGAGCCAAACAAAUAAACCCACUUUCUUUCCAGGCACCACAGCACAACGGAGGGAAGGGAAGCGUGUGCGUGUGCCCCAGACUUGGAGAAUGCCAAUGCCUCAAGCGGCAGCAUUUCUUUCACCAGCUCCCAGCAAGUGGCCAUUUAGCCUUAAUUGCUCCUCACAGCAUAGUCCAAUUAAGAACGGGCAUCAGCAGGGCCGGAACUAUUUGUUAAUCCAUAAAAGGUAGGAGAGACAGCGCUUGUUUUGCUUGUGCUUUCUAUUCGUGUGUUUGGGUGAAAGUCUAAACAGCUGGAACCUUCCGCAAGAAUUGGGGCAGGGCCAGACCAACAUAAAAAUUAAUGUUCUAUCAAACCAAAGGAAUAAAUCACGCAUGGACAAUACCAUCUGAACCCUGAUGUCUUAAUGCUGGAAAUUGAAAAGGAAUAUUUCCCUUUGUGAACGAGAAAGUUGGAGAAAACCUGCAACAGAGCCAAAGGAGUAAGAUUUGCAAAAACUGUCAAUCAAGAAGCAUUCUGAAAUGGAAUGGUGAUCUGGGGGGAAACUAUUGAUAGGAACAGCCAAACUGUGAGAAGUGGUCUCUUGCUCUUGAGACAGGAAGGAGUAAGGACUAAAAAUAUCCUUCUCUUACUGAUUUCUUCCUACUGGACAAAGUGACUAAUAUCCUCAACCUGUUAGCCAUAUCCCUCAAUUCAGGACUCUAUUCUAUUAUUCGUCAAUUUAGGAGUCUAUUAAGAUUAGGGAAACCCUAAACCCUCUCCCCCAUCAGACUUCCUUAUUCUUCCCCUUUUCCUAAAUAAAUCCCCUUGUUUAAACUAUUCAAAGAGAGAGUUAUUUAUUAGAUUUAUCAGGAAACUCACUCAUAGUUGUCUUCCAGUAUCACCAAAUGAAGAAACCAACUGAUGGGGGGACAGAGAAGGGAGGAGGAAAAGAGAGGGGAGAGAAAAGGGAGAAAGGUGGCAAACCUGAUCUCUCAAUCACCAUAACCCUUAAUUACUUAAUACACCUUAUAACAAAAUAUUAUAAGUAAUGGAAGAGUUUAUUAAUACCUUUCAUUGAAAAGAUUCUAUUAGAAAAUUAAGCACUGGCUAAUAAGCAUAAUGAAAUAUCUAAAUCACUAGAAAAUAUUAAUUUGGAUCACUAUUAAAUUUAACCCAAGUUUGCAAACAUAUCUUUUUUGUAAGUAGCAAAAGCACCUCAAAAUGACUUACAGUAUUUAGAGCUUUACAAUAAAUACAAUAUCUGUAUUUUUAAAACAGACACUACACUGUGAUUGACAUAAAUAUUUUAAAGGAAAAAAAUAAAUAUUUUAAAGGGAAAAUUUGUUGUUCCAUAUUUAAACUGUUUGUGUUGGUUAAUUUAUAAUAUUCUGUUACACUGUCAUUUUCAGCUAUUGUAUUUUUGCUAUUGGAUAUAUGUUCUGUUACACUGUUUUUAUUUGUACCUUCCUACACUUGAACUUGAAAAAAAUACCAUUAUAAAACUCCAUAAACUAGUUAGAAGAAACUUGUAUUACCUUUAGAUAAGUUGAUGUGUUUUUUGGGAAUUUUGAGAAUUUUGUAUUUCUUUGAAUGUGCAUUACUUACUGUACUAUUGUUUUAUAAAUCUCUUUGUAAAAAUCAUUUUCACUCACUUGUGGAUCAUGGCUAAUUUAAAAAAGGAAAUGGAUCUCAUUUUUACAUGAAAAUCCUCUGUAUUCUACCUCUCCUUGCCUGGCACAGUGUGCCACUGAUUGUGAACUGUAUAUUUUUGAUAUAUUUUAUUAUUUUUUCCCUUAUAUGUGCAAUACAGUAUUUGAGCUUUUCUUUUUUCUUUCUACCAUUUUUUUCACU